GAUGAACGCUGGCGGCGUGCCUAAUACAUGCAAGUCGAGCGAAUGGAUUAAGAGCUUGCUCUUAUGAAGUUAGCGGCGGACGGGUGAGUAACACGUGGGUAACCUGCCCAUAAGACUGGGAUAACUCCGGGAAACCGGGGCUAAUACCGGAUAACAUUUUGAACCGAAUGGUUCGAAAUUGAAAGGCGGCUUCGGCUGUCACUUAUGGAUGGACCCGCGUCGCAUUAGCUAGUUGGUGCGGUAACGGUUCACCAAGGCAACGAUGCGUAGCCGACCUGAGAGGGUGAUCGGCCACACUGGGACUGAGACACGGCCCAGACUCCUACGGGAGGCAGCAGUAGGGAAUCUUCCGCAAUUGACGAAAGUCUGACGGAGCAACGCCGCGUGAGUGAUGAAGGCUUUCGGGUCGUAAAACUCUGUUGUUAGGGAAGAACAAGUGCUAGUUGAAUAAGCUGGCACCUUGACGGUACCUAACCAGAAAGCCACGGCUAACUACGUGCCAGCCGCCGCAGUAA
rnacentral:rRNA from 1 species